AUGAACGCUGGCGGCGUGCCUAAUACAUGCCAGUCGAGCGAACAGACGAGGAGCUUGCUCCUCUGACGUUAGCGGCGGACGGGUGAGUAACACGUGGCUAACCUACCUAUAAUACUGGGAUAACUUCGGUAAACCGGAUCUAAUACCGGAUAAUAUAUUGAACCGCAUGGUUCAAUAGUGAAAGACGGUUUUGCUGUCACUUAUAGAUGGAUCCGCGCCGCAUUAGCUAGUUGGUAAGGUAACGGCUUACCAAGGCAACGAUGCGUAGCCGACCUGAGAGGGUGAUCGGCCACACUGGAACUGAGACACGGUCCAGACUCCUACGGGAGGCAGCAGUAGGGAAUCUUCCGCAAUGGGCGAAAGCCUGACGGAGCAACGCCGCGUGAGUGAUGAAGGUCUUCGGAUCGUAAAACUCUGUUAUUAGGGAAGAACAAAUGUGUAAGUAACUAUGCACGUCUUGACGGUACCUAAUCAGAAAGCCACGGCUAACUACGUG
rnacentral:rRNA from 1 species